GACGAACGCUGGCGGCGUGCUUAACACAUGCAAGUCGAACGGAAAGGCCCUGCUUGCAGGGUACUCGAGUGGCGAACGGGUGAGUAACACGUGGGUGAUCUGCCCUGCACUUCGGGAUAAGCCUGGGAAACUGGGUCUAAUACCGGAUAGGAGCCAUUUUAGUGUGAUGGUUUGAAAGUUUUUUCGGUGUAGGAUGAGCUCGCGGCCUAUCAGCUUGUUGGUGGGGUAAUGGCCUACCAAGGCGGCGACGGGUAGCCGGCCUGAGAGGGUGGACGGCCACAUUGGGACUGCGAUACGGCCCAGACUCCUACGGGAGGCAGCAGUGGGGAAUAUUGCACAAUGGGCGCAAGCCUGAUGCAGCGACGCCGCGUGGGGGAUGACGGCCUUCGGGUUGUAAACUCAUUUCGCUAGGGACGAAGCUUUUUGUGACGGUACCUAGAUAAGAAGCACCGGCUAACUACGUG
rnacentral:rRNA from 1 species